rnacentral:rRNA from 1 species
GAGGAUGUUUCGGGUGCCGGCACCGUUCUAAGUUCCUUGGAACAGGGCGUCAUAGAGGGUGAGAAUCCCGUACGUGACCGGUGGCCGAGCCCGUGUGAAACUCCUUCGACGAGUCGAGUUGUUUGGGAAUGCAGCUCAAAAUGGGUGGUAAAUUUCAUCUAAAGCUAAAUACCGGCCAGAGACCGAUAGCGCACAAGUAGAGUGAUCGAAAGAUGAAAAGCACUUUGGAAAGAGAGUUAAAAAGUACGUGAAAUUGUUGAAAGGGAAGCGCUUGCAGCCAGACUUGCCCGGGGGUGAUCAACCGUCUCUCGGGGCGGUGCACUCUCCCCCGAUCAGGCCAGCAUCGGUUUGGGCGGCUGGACAAAGGCCCGGGGAAUGUGGCUCGCUUCGGUGAGUGUUAUAGCCCCGGGUGCAAUGCAGCCAGCCCGGAUCGAGGACCGCGCUCCGGCUAGGAUGCUGGCGUAAUGGCUGUCAGCGACCCGUCUUGAAACACGGACCAAGGAGUCGACCAAUUGAGCGAGUGUUAGGGUGUCNAAACCCUUGCGCGUAAUGAAANGUGAANCGGAGGUGAGACGCCGCAAGGCCGCAUCAUCGACCGAUCCUGAUGUCUUCGGAUGGAUUUGAGUAUGAGCUUUGCUGGUCGGACCCGAAAGAUGGUGAUCUAUGCGUGAAUAGGGNUGAAGUCAGAAGAAAUUCUGAUGGAGGCUCGCAGCGGUUCUGACGUGCAAAUCGAUCGUCAAAUUUGCGCAUAGGGGCGAAAGACUAAUCGAACCAUCUGCUUCUUUGCUUCUAGGUGGUUACAGAAGUGCUUCUAUUUAGCCAUCGACUGGGAUGGUGACACUGCUACAUGCAUGAAUGCUCUCAGCCGAGNAAAUAUGCAGCGGCCCAGCCGUACACAGACCAAAUAGCGGUGGUUUUCCUUUAGUACUAGGAAGAUUCUGACAUGGUCGAGUUCUUCUCUGCAAAGAGACCGAGAGGGNUGGAUUGGAUUCUCGGGGNUGGAGNACUGCGUGGCAGUGCCCCCAGCUC